UUUUACACAAACCCCAGAGCUAGCAAAGAUGUAAAACGAUCAGUUAAGCCAAGGGAUGCUGAGGGCAGGCAGCCCAGGGCAGACGCUCCGCCCAAGAGUUUAGGCAGGGAGUCAGGUGACAGCCUUGUCAGACAGGCGGAGGUGGGCCAGCCGAGUGACGGCAGACAGGCGGAGGUGGGCCAGCCGAGUGACGGCAGACAGGCGGAGGUGGGCCAGCCGAGUGACGGCAGACAGGCGGAGGUGGGCCAGCUGAGUGACGGCAGACAGGCGGAGGUGGGCCAGCCGAGUGACGGCAGACGGGCGGAGGUGGGCCAGCCGAGUGACGCCAGCUGCCCCCGCCCUGCCUCGGCCACAGGGUGGAUGCGACAGCAGGCAGGGCCGGGUCCCAGGCUCGUCCACCAGUGUUGCUCUGCGAGCUGCC